CAAACUAGAUACCCUAAGGAACAUUCAGUUAAAGUUUGGAAGUAUUUGGCCCAGUAGUUUCAGAGGAGAAGAUUUUUGUAAAAGAUUACUAAGAUUUACGAAAAAUGGUUAAAAAUUGACUAUAAAGGGCAAUUACUCCUAAAGGGGUCAACUGACCAUUUCCAUCAUGUUGACUUAUUUGUAAAUCUUACUUUGCUGAACAUUAUUCCUGUUUACAGUUUAUCUCUAUCUAUAAUAAUAUUCAAGAUAAUAACCAAAAAC
rnacentral:lncRNA from 1 species